GGAUGUAAGGAGCAAUGGCUGCAACUUCUGUCACUGCACUGAUCAGCAGGGCUGAUUCGGCUGAGCUGCUGGCUAGGGGGUGUCCCCUUCCUCCCUCACCUCUCCAUGUCCCAUGAAGCUGCAUGCUCAGUUGGAGAAGAAGGCCACUCCCAGUAGAGGAGGACUGUUUCUUCCAUGAAGGGUAUAAGAGUAGCUGUGCUCCCCUGUUACAACCUAACAAAGUGGCUACCAUAAAAUUGACUUCGGGUAUAAGUAGUUACAAAGCGAGGGGACACAGAAAGUGGCUGUGAGGUCCU
rnacentral:snRNA from 1 species